rnacentral:lncRNA from 1 species
CUCAGCCGCUCCGGCGAGGGUGCGAGCUGCUCCUCGGGCUGCAGGAGCUCGUGCUCUUCCCGCAAAAUAAUUUAAUAAGUGGACGUGUCCGGAAGUGGCCUCAGCUGCGGGGACUCGGGAGAGGCGAAGAGUGAGACAGAUGGCAAGAAGCCGCGAGUCUGCCUGCGGGUCUGACGGAAGUCUCCAGCUCCCCUCUCCCCCUUCCGUCCCUCCAUCCUUCCUUUAACCCUGCCCUCAGCUCUGUGCUGAAGAUGCACAGACAGUAUUUCAACUGAGGCCAGUAUUGAGCGCUCCUGGAAAAACUCCGAAGGCGUCCGAUUAGGGCUCGAGCUGCCGGAGGUUGUGGGUGUGCGAGCUGGAUUUCUCCCGGAUGCUCCCCGACUAACAUGGAUGUCCCACCAUCCCUUGCAGUGGAAGGUUGCUCCUUGGCGCAGUGAGUGAAGAACAUGCAGCGAUUGCUAAUGGGUUUGGGAAGCGGAGACUCCUUCCUCUUUCCGUGACCAUGCCGUGAUCGUGUCUGCGGCCACCACUCGACGCAUUCUCAUUCCUGCCCAAACCGGGAGCCUAACGCUAGAUCGGGGAAGUGGGUGCCGCGCGUGUAGGCACGGAAACACCAUGAAGAUUAUUUCCCCGAUUCUAAGUAAUCUAGUCUUCAGGCGCUCUAUUAGACUCUUGUUCUGUUUACUGUGGAUUGGAUAUUCGCAAGGAACCACACAUGUGUUAAGAUUUGAGCCAGGUCACUUGACAGCAUGACCAUGUGUGAAGAUCAAGGACCCAGCGAGGUUGGAUCUUUCAGAUUUUGAG